UACGUAGGUGGCAAGCGUUGUCCGGAUUUAUUGGGUUUAAAGGGUGCGUAGGCGGUUCUUUAAGUCAGCGGUGAAAUACGACAGCUUAACUGUCGAGGUGCCAUUGAUACUGGGGAACUUGAGUACUGAUGAGGUAUGCGGAAUGGACGGUGUAGCGGUGAAAUGCUUAGAUAUCGUCCAGAACACCGAUAGCGAAGGCAGCAUACUAAGGAGUAACUGACGCUGAGGCACGAAAGUGUGGGGAUCAAACAGG
rnacentral:rRNA from 2 species